rnacentral:rRNA from 1 species
GAUGAACGCUGGCGGAGGGAAGAAUACAGGCAAGUCGAGCGAACAGACGAGGAGCUUGCUCCUCUGACGUUAGCGGCGGACGGGUGAGUAACACGUGGAUAACCUACCUAUAAGACUGGGAUAACUUCGGGAAACCGGAGCUAAUACCGGAUAACAUGUUGAACCGCAUGGUUCAACAGUGAAAGACGGUCUUGCUGUCACUUAUAGAUGGAUCCGCGCCGCAUUAGCUAGUUGGUAAGGUAACGGCUUACCAAGGCAACGAUGCGUAGCCGACCUGAGAGGGUGAUCGGCCACACUGGAACUGAGACACGGUCCAGACUCCUACGGGAGGCAGCAGUAGGGAAUCUUCCGCAAUGGGCGAAAGCCUGACGGAGCAACGCCGCGUGAGUGAAGAAGGUCUUCGGAUCGUAAAACUCUGUUAUUAGGGAAGAACAAAUGUGUAAGUAACUAUGCACGUCUUGACGGUACCUAAUCAGAAAGCCACGGCUACCUACGUG